GUGCUAGUCUAAGGUCGUAGGAGGUUAUACAGGCAAAUCCGUAUAACAAUACUCCGAGAACUGAAAGGCUUUUUGAAGUCUUCGGAUGGAUAGAAGAACCCCUGAUGCCGUCGAGCCAAGAAAAGUUUCUAAGUUUAGCUAAUGUUGCCCGUACCGUAAACCGACACAGGUGGGUGGGAUGAGUAUUCUAAGGCGCGUGGAAGAACUCUCUUUAAGGAACUCUGCAAAAUAGCACCGUAUCUUCGGUAUAAGGUGUGGUUAGCUUUGUAUUAGGAUUUACUCCGAAAGCAAGGAAACUUACAACAAAGAGUCCCUCCCGACUGUUUACCAAAAACACAGCACUCUGCUAACUCGUAAGAGGAUGUAUAGGGUGUGACGCCUGCCCGGUGCUCGAAGGUUAAUUGAUGGGGUUAGCAUUAGCGAAGCUCUUGAUCGAAGCCCGAGUAAACGGCGGCCGUAACUAUAACGGUCCUAAGGUAGCGAAAUUCCUUGUCGGUUAAAUACCGACCUGCAUGAAUGGCGUAACGAGAUGGGAGCUGUCUCAAAGAGGGAUCCAGUGAAAUUGUAGUGGAGGUGAAAAUUCCUCCUACCCGCGGCAAGACGGAAAGACCCCGUGGACCUUUACUACAGCUUGACACUGCUACUUGGAUAAGAAUGUGCAGGAUAGGUGGGAGGCUUUGAGUAUAUGACGCCAGUUGUAUAUGAGCCAUUGUUGAGAUACCACUCUUUCUUAUUUGGGUAGCUAACCAGCUUGAGUUAUCCUCAAGUGGGACAAUGUCUGGUGGGUAGUUUGACUGGGGCGGUCGCCUCCCAAAUAAUAACGGAGGCUUACAAAGGUUGGCUCAGAACGGUUGGAAAUCGUUCGUAGAGUAUAAAGGUAUAAGCCAGCUUAACUGCAAGACAUACAAGUCAAGCAGAGACGAAAGUCGGUCUUAGUGAUCCGGUGGUUCUGUGUGGAAGGGCCAUCGCUCAAAGGAUAAAAGGUACCCCGGGGAUAACAGGCUGAUCUCCCCCAAGAGCUCACAUCGACGGGGAGGUUUGGCACCUCGAUGUCGGCUCAUCGCAUCCUGGGGCUGGAGCAGGUCCCAAGGGUAUGGCUGUUCGCCAUUUAAAGCGGUACGCGAGCUGGGUUCAGAACGUCGUGAGACAGUUCGGUCCCUAUCUGCCGUGGGCGUAAGAAGAUUGAAGAGAUUUGACCCUAGUACGAGAGGACCGGGUUGAACAAACCACUGGUGUAGCUGUUGUUCUGCCAAGAGCAUCGCAGCGUAGCUAAGUUUGGAAAGGAUAAACGCUGAAAGCAUCUAAGCGUGAAGCCAACUCUAAGAUGAAUCUUCUCUAAGCUCUCUAGAAGACUACUAGUUUGAUAGGCUGGGUGUGUAAUGGAUGAAAGUCCUUUAGCUGACCAGUACUAAUAGAGCGUUUGGCUUAUCUUUAAUAAAGCAU
rnacentral:rRNA from 1 species